CUUGGUCAUUUAGAGGAAGUAAAAGUCGUAACAAGGUUCCCUUCCGCCGCUCAGCACGGAGACCUUGCAACCCCUAGGGGAGGCAGCACGACAGUAAACAAAGCUUGCCGCUUGCAAGUCGGCCACUUGGCUGGCAACACAAUCGAAUUGACGGGGACCUCCUAAAGCCUGUAACACCAACCGUCCGGGGAAACUCGGGCGGGGCCCUCACGGGGUGGUAAGAGAGUACAGGAUGUAACAAUGGACAAUCCGCAGCGAAGACCCUACCGGCUCCGGCCCACGGGUACCGUUCACAGACUAAGUGAUUGUGGGCGGGGCAAUCGUGCCCUGUCUAAGAUAUAGUCGGACUCUACCCGAAAGGAUAGAGGAUAGCAUGUCCGUAGGUGAACCUGCGGAAGGAUCAUUAAAGAAUGCCCCGUUUUUCGAAGCGGGUUCUAUUCCCAAACCGUGUAUACAUACCUUUGUUGCUUUGGCAGGCCGCCUUCGGGCGUCGGCUUACCCUGACCGCGCCUGCCAGAGGACCCAAGCUCUUUUGUUUAGUGAUGUCUGAGUACUAUAUAAUAGUUAAAACUUUCAACAACGGAUCUCUUGGUUCUGGCAUCGAUGAAGAACGCAGCGAAAUGCGAUAAGUAAUGUGAAUUGCAGAAUUCAGUGAAUCAUCGAAUCUUUGAACGCACGUUGCGCCCCUUGGUAUUCCGAGGGGCAUGCCUGUUCGAGCGUCAUUAUGACCACUCAAGCUUAGCUUGGUAUUGGGGUUCGCGGUCUCGCGGCCCUUAAAAUCAGUGGCGGUGCCAUCUGGCUCUAAGCGUAGUAAUUUAUCUCGCUAUUGGGUCCGGUGGUUGCUUGCCAAUAACCCCCAACUUCUAAGGUUGACCUCGGAUCAGGUAGGGAUACCCGCUGAACUUAAGCAUAUCAAUAAGCGGAGGA
rnacentral:rRNA from 1 species